rnacentral:rRNA from 1 species
UGAGUAACCUGCCCUUGACUCUGAGAUAACCUCGGGAAACCGAUGCUAAUGCCGGAUACGACAACCGACGGCAUCGUCUGGUUGUGGAAAGAACUUCGGUCAAGGAUGGACUCGCGGCCUAUCAGGUAGUUGGUGAGGUAACGGCUCACCAAGGCGACGACGGGUAGCUGGU